AUAAAAUUGGAGUUAUUAAGCCUCACAGUUUAGUUAAUGCUUCCAGUCGAGUCUGGGGAAGAAACCAGGAAGCAGCAGGUAUUGAGAAGAGCUGGAUGAACAGUUCACAGAGCAGUGUGGAAAAAAUGUAACUGAGUAUGUAGAAAGAGAAAACAAGGAACUUCUGAGCCAAGGCAGAUCAAAGAAUGUUUGAGGAUAGUUUAGCAUUUGGAACACUUCAAAAGUGUGACAGGGGCUAUUCUUUUUACCUCCCGCCUCAAAUGCUUAUCCAACAUUCUUGGAAAACGUCCUAAUAAGAAGAUAAGGUGACCGAAUAAGGGGAUUACUUGGCAGAGAUAUGAGAGAACUGGGUUCUUGACCCCACUUUGCCAUGAACUUGGGCAGAGGAGCCUUUCCCUGUGGCCACCACUGCCUUCAGCCCAUAAGGGAGUUUUUCCAGGCUACCUCCGAUGAUCACUUAAAGCUCAACAGCUCUUCAUUCAGCUUGUGGUCAUGUGCAAUCCUAAUACACUGACUCUGAGUCCAGUUCAGCACUAAGAGUUACCAAGAAUUUCAGUCCUUGUGUCCUAGACUGCCUUUCAAGUUUACUUGGAACCCCAAAGCACUUCAGCCUGCUGUGGUGAGGCGUGCUGAGAAACUGAAGUUCAAGCUACUGGGCUGGGUGAUUCUUUUCUGGCUAGGUGAGGUCCAAAUGCUCCCUCUUGCAUGGGGGCUGGCUGAGCCCAGCACGGCUUUGCUCUCUGCUGUGACAGGGCAGCACUGAAUUCAAUGUAAAGUCCUCCAGUUCUGUGCUCUCCCUCCCCAAGUGCACAGACUCUCUCCCAACAGCAUGGCUGCUGCCAGGGGAAAUAUUAAGAAUGGUGUAGGAGAUUCAAGACUGUCUGUCUUACUUUCUUCAGUGACAUGAAGUUAAAACCAGGUAGUCUCCUUUAGUGACAUGAAGUUCAAACCAGCUGGUCUAAUUGCUCACCUGAUUUUUGAUUCUUAUGAUGGUUCUUUUCUAUGUGCAGAUAGUUGUUAAAAUUUGGUGUUAUUGUCAGGAUGAAGAGUGUAGACUUCUAUUCCACAAUCUUGCUCUACCCACUUCCUGCCCCCAGUUGAGAUUCUUGCAUUUUUGGGUUAUAGUUGUAUUAAAUUUGAAAAAAAUGUAGUUAUUAUUACAUCAAAUAAUUUUGCUAUCCUGUCUUCACCCUUCAUGGGCUACAAGUUGAAGUAUAUUAGGUUGCUUGACAUUUUCCCAGAGCUCACUUGUGCUCUGUUCAUUGAAAAUUGUUUCUAAAAAUUGGAACCACUUAAAAUUCUAUCCAAACAAUUCUGUAAUCAAAGAGAAGAUUAAAAAACAAAUGGAAGGAUGUCAAGAAAAUAAUAAUAACUCAGUAUGUAUCAGUCUAUGGUCAGUACAAAUUUACUAAGAAGAAAAUAGAAUAAAAAUAAUGAGUU
rnacentral:lncRNA from 10 species